CUUAUGCCCCAUGUUGGAAUGGACACUUGAGUCAGGCCCUCAUUCUGGCCACAGGGUAUAGGAAACAGUGCCCCAGGAAGAUUAGAGCUGCUUGGAGAUGGUUGAGAGGGGCCAAUUUGGCUCCAAAUAUUGAGGCAAGUGGUGAAAAUGGAGAGCUGCAGCACUGGGCUGUGGACAAGGCAUCCAAGGAAGUAACCAGCCAGGAGAAGAUAUCACCUGCCUAUGGCAGCUGCCUAAAUGGAUUGCUGAGGAAUAAAUGGGUCCUACGUUAUCUGCCAAGGAGUUUCCCCAUAGUGAUCUACAGUAAAACUCUUGACGCUAAAAGGAUUUCAAGAACAGCCUUGAUGGCAAGAACUUGGAAGAGUUCAUCUUUCUCAGUAUCCAGACAGGAGAAGAGAGAGUUGAGAGUUGGACAAUCCUAGUUUCAAGCCUGAGUUUAUGUUUGCUGAGUCUUCCAACUCAUAAUUUCUUCCUCAACAUCUCCUCGUCUCCCUCACAAUCCUGUUAUCAUCACCACCACCACCAUCACCAUCACUGUGAUCACACAAAGGCACUAUGAAAACGUAAUUGAG